UGCCAGACUCCUACGGGAGGCAGCAGUGAGGAAUAUUGGUCAAUGGGCGAGAGCCUGAACCAGCCAAGUCGCGUGAGGGAGUACUGCCCUAUGGGUUGUAAACCUCUUUUGUCGGGGAGCAAAAGCCGGACGUGUCCGGCUGUGAGAGUACCCGAAGAAAAAGCAUCGGCUAACUCCGUGCCAGCAGCCGCGGCAAUACGGAGGAUGCGAGCGUUAUCCGGAUUUAUUGGGUUUAAAGGGUGCGUAGGCUGUGAGGUAAGUCAGCGGUAAAAUGCCCCCGCUCAACGGGGGGAAGUGCCGUUGAUACUACCUUGCUGGAAUGCGGAUGCCGUGGGAGGAAUGUGUGGUGUAGCGGUGAAAUGCAUAGAUAUCACACAGAACACCGAUUGCGAAGGCAUCUCACGAAUCCGCGAUUGACGCUGAUGCACGAAAGCGUGGGUAUCAAACAGGAUUAGAUACCCCGGUA
rnacentral:rRNA from 1 species